UACGAAGGGGGCUAGCGUUGCUCGGAAUCACUGGGCGUAAAGGGCGCGUAGGCGGUCAGCACAAGUCAGUUGUGAAAUCUCCGGGCUUAACUCGGAAAGGUCAACUGAUACUGUGCGACUAGAGUGCAGAAGGGGCAACUGGAAUUCUCGGUGUAGCGGUGAAAUGCGUAGAUAUCGAGAGGAACGCCUGCGGCGAAGGCGGGUUGCUGGGCUGACACUGACGCUGAUGCGCGAAAGCCAGGGGAGCGAACGGG
rnacentral:rRNA from 1 species